UUGAAUUUCGGAUCAAUAUGUUGGUCGUGCCUCGGUACGUACUAGUCUUAUUGGUUUCUCCUUUCCGAAAGAACCAUGAUGUCAUUCAUUUGGUGUCGUGGGGAAUCAGGACUGUUACUUUAGAAAAAUUAGAGUUAGNUUAAAGCAGGCUCACGCUUGAAUACAUUAGCAUGGAAUAAUAAAAUAGGUACGUUUGAUUCUAUUUUGUUGGUUUCUAGGAUCGACGUAAUGAUUAAUAGGGAUAGUUGGGGGCAUUAGUAUUCAAUUGUCAGAGGUGAAAUUCUUGGAUUUAUUGAAGACUAACUACUGCGAAAGCAUUUGCCAAGGAUGUUUUCAUUAAUCAAGAACGAAAGUUAGGGGAUCGAAGACGAUCAGAUACCGUCGUAGUCUUAACCAUAAACUAUGCCGACUAGGGAUCGGAUGAUGUUAAUUUUUAAUGACUC
rnacentral:rRNA from 1 species